rnacentral:misc_RNA from 1 species
AAAAAACCUGAUAAGAAGACAAUCCUAAUCACAACAAAGAACAAUGCUUUUGAUUGCUCAAAAAAUGACUAUGAUAACCUGCUUAAUUAUAUACUGUUCACUGCAUUCUCAGCCCUCACACCACCUUUUCCAAAAUAACACGUCAACUUAAUUAUUAGUAAUAAUUGAUGACAGUUAGUUUUCCUCUCUAUGGUGUGGCCAACCCUGAUGUGGCAGUCAACUAUAAGGAACGUUAGA